CAACCGCCGCGGGAAUACGUAGGUGGCAAGCGUUGUCCGGAAUUAUUGGGCGUAAAGCGCGCGCAGGCGGUUUUUUAAGUCUGAUGUGAAAGCCCACGGCUCAACCGUGGAGGGUCAUUGGAAACUGGAAAACUUGAGUGCAGAAGAGGAAAGUGGAAUUCCAUGUGUAGCGGUGAAAUGCGCAGAGAUAUGGAGGAACACCAGUGGCGAAGGCGACUUUCUGGUCUGUAACUGACGCUGAUGUGCGAAAGCGUGGGGAUCAAACAGGAUUAGAUACCCGCGUAGUCCCUGUCUCUUAUAC
rnacentral:rRNA from 1 species